GGAGCCCUUAAGGAGGUGUAAACGAGGUCACAAGAGUGGGAUUCUAUCUGAGAGGACUGAUCUCCUUGUGAGAAGAGACACCAGAUCUCUCUCUCUCUCUUCCUGUCUCUCUCCCUCUCUUUCUCUCUCUACAUGCAGACAAAAGACCAAGUGAGGCCACAGUGAGAAGUUAGCUGUCUGCAAGCCAAGGGGAGCGACUUCACCAGAAACCAACCAUGCCCUCACCUUGACCUUGGACUCUCCAGUCUACCCAACUUGGCGAGACUGAAUUUCCUUUGUUUAAGCCCCCUCACCCUACCCCCAGUCUGUGGUAUUGAGUUAUGGCAGUCCUGGUAUAUCUCUGAACAGUUCUCUGCCAGGUCACCACAAAGGAUCUGAUGUACUUUGACUGCAGCACUGGGAAGGACAUUGGACAACUGGCCCCCAUUCUUGACUAUGAGCUCCUUGAAAGCAUCACCCAUCAUAAUUCUGGCCAGGACCUCGGAUACAGAGCAGAGAAAGGCAAGAAGAUGGUGCAAGUUCAGUGGGACUGACCCCCGAGAAUUGAGAAACAGCUCUUGCUACAAUAGGCGAAGUGGGAUGUGAAACAUGACGUCCUUGCUGCCAGCGACUGGGUGUGUGGUCAGAGUGUGGACAGCUAUUCUCAUAGCCCAUGUAACUAGUAAGCCAUGAGCUAUAAAAAGCAAUCCACAGAAAAAACAACCUGCUGCUCGUUGAAUCUGGAAG
rnacentral:lncRNA from 1 species